rnacentral:lncRNA from 1 species
CCCGGGCGCACCUCCCCAGGUAGGAGCAGCUGUGGCGGCGCGGUAGGAGCCCCACAGCGUCAGGGCGGGGAGGGCGCUUGGAGAUCCCCCGGGUCGGCCCCCUCCGCACCCCGAUCGACUGAGGCCCGGAGAGUUCAGGAACCGGCUCGGGAGACCUCAGCGCCCGAACUCGGAGUUUUCGGACUUUUCAGGCCUCUGCCAAGGGCUUGGACUCGCAGGUGAAAGGACGGGCUCAUCUCACUUUUUUGUCCUGAGAGGGUGGUCUCUCUGGGCUCCUGCACAGCAGGCUUUUCCGUGGAGGCUGGAAGGGUCUGGAGCUGACUCCAAGACAUGGUCUUUCUCUCCAUAGAUGGUGGAAAGCUGCACUUGAAGUCCAACUCUGUCCUGGGGGAAUAAUUAUGUUCCCUGUCUUGGGAGCCUUUCUUCAGGGAGCUUGAUGGUUCCAACCCACCCAGGAGCCUGGGACAUCUGUGCCCCUGGGCAAUCCCCUGCAGCAGCUCCAAGGACCAUGGCCCCAGGAACUAGGCACAAGUGACAGGAGACACUUGCUAUGUCUAAACCCAGUGCACCCUCAGCCCGGCCUCGCCUUUUCAAGGACGGCUAGCACAGGCCAUCAUCCUGGCCCACGAUGAAGGUGAGCAUCAAACUCCAAUUUCUGAAGAGGAAACUGAAGACCAGAGAGGGGAGGUAAACAUCCCAAAGUCACCAGCAAGUCAGUGGGAGACACAACUUUAACCCUAGUUUUGACUGGCAGUCUGUGGGCAUCGAGGCCACCAUUCCAUGUACCUAAUGUGUGUCUGGCAGUGUUCCAGGCCUCACCUGCAUCAUUUCUAAUCCUCUCAACCAGAGGAUCAGAGAGGUGGCGUUUUUACCCCUAGUACACAGAGGAGGCGCUUGGGGUUCAGAGGCACGUGUGGAACUAGACCGACGCCACUCACCCCAGCAGGUGGCCAAGCGGGAUGGGAGCGCGGGUCUCCCCAUCCCCAGCGGUGACGGGCGGCGGCUCUUUCCUGAAGAAUGGGGCGGCGUCCGCAACGGGAACCGCUGGAGGCGCUCCCCGGGACCCUGGCCCGCCCUCGCCCCCGCGCAUGCCUGGCCGCUGAGGCGUGAGAGCCGCCGCCCGGGGCCUCCCCCCGCGCGCCUUGCACAACCGGCCCAGGUAAGUGCUGCGUCUCUGGGCAAUUAUCGCCCUCCCGCCGCCGGGGCUGGCCGCGCACAGGGCCCACGGCCAAGGCACUCGCAGCCACCCAAGGAGAGCUGCACGGUCUACGACGGCCGCCAGCGCGCGCGAUUUCACAAGGCCCGGGAGCGGGGACGGGGCGGGGCGGCGGGGGCGGUGACGUCACGCGCAGCCACGCCCCGCGGUUGCCCCGCCCCCGCGCUGGGCCGGGCCUGGGGAGGAAGCGAUGCGAGGCCACCUGUCCACCUGCGCCGCUUCGUCCUUCCUCCUCCUCCUCCCUGUCAGCUGUUUUUCUUUCUUCCCAUCUCCCAUCUCUUCCUUUUUAUCCCUCUCAUUCCUCCCUCUUUCCGUCCGUUUCCUUCUCCCUUCCCCAUCUCCUUCCUUUUAAUUUUCCUUUUCUCCUCCCUCCCGCCUUCCUUCUCUCUGCUUCCUUUCUCUUCCUCCCUCCCUCCUUCUCUUCCGCCUGCUUCCUUUCUUUCUCCUCUCUCUCCUUUCUUCCUUUCCUCCUCUCCUUUUUCUUUUUCUUUUAUUUUCUUUCUUU